UACGGAGGGAGCAAGCGUUACUCGGAAUAACUGGGCGUAAAGGGCGCGUAGGCGAUUUUAUAAGUCUCGUGUGAAAGCCCCAAGCCUAACUUGGGAAGUGCACGAGGUACUGUAGAAUUUGAGUUCCGGAGAGGAAGAUGGAAUUCCCGGUGUAGCGGUGAAAUGCGUAGAUAUCGGAGGAACACCAGUGGCGAAGGCGAUCUUCUGGACGGAUACUGACGCUGAGGCGCGAAAGC
rnacentral:rRNA from 1 species